rnacentral:rRNA from 1 species
UACGGAGGAUCCAAGCGUUAUCCGGAUUUAUUGGGUUUAAAGGGUGCGUAGGCGGCUUAUUAAGUCAGGGGUGAAAGACGGUGGCUCAACCAUCGCAGUGCCCUUGAUACUGAUGAGCUUGAAUACACUUGAGGUAGGCGGAAUGUGACAAGUAGCGGUGAAAUGCAUAGAUAUGUCACAGAACACCAAUUGCGAAGGCAGCCUACUAAGGUGCAAUUGACGCUGAGGCACGAAAGCGUGGGGAUCAAACAGG